AGAGUUGGAUCCUGGCUCAGAUUGAACGCUGGCGGCAUGCCUAACACAUGCAAGUCGAACGGUAACAGGUCUUCGGAUGCUGACGAGUGGCGGACGGGUGAGUAACGCGUAGGAAUCUGUCUUUGAGUGGGGGGCAACCCAGGGAAACUUGGGCUAAUACCGCAUAAGCCCUGAGGGGGAAAGCGGGGGAUCUUCGGACCUCGCGCUGGAAGAGGAGCCUACGUCUGAUUAGCUAGUUGGUAGGGUAAAGGCCUACCAAGGCGACGAUCGGUAGCUGGUCUGAGAGGACGACCAGCCACACUGGGACUGAGACACGGCCCAGACUCCUACGGGAGGCAGCAGUGGGGAAUUUUUCGCAAUGGGGGCAACCCUGACGAAGCAAUGCCGCGUGAAUGAAGAAGGCCUUCGGGUUGUAAAGUUCUUUCUUGGAGGAUGAAAAGGUGGGUGCUAAUAUCGCCUGCUGUUGACGUGAAUCCUAGAAGAAGCACUGGCUAACUCCGUGCCAGCAGCCGCGGUAAU
rnacentral:rRNA from 1 species